GGAAGGAUCAUUAACACUUUGAAUCCUUUUAAAGCCUCUUGUUGAACACGUGAUUCGUCUUUUUUCUAAACAUUUAUUAAGUUUUUAAACAUUUUUCUGGAACUGAGCCCUCUCGCGGGGCUGAAGUGAAGGAAGAAUCAUAAAACAAAAAACAACUGCUAGCAUUGGAUGUCUUGGUUCUCGCAACGAUGAAGAACGCAGCAAAAUGCGAUAAGUAAUGUGAAUCGUAGAAUUCAGUGAAUCAUCAAAUCUUUGAACGCAAAUGGCACUUCUGGGUACUCCCAGGAGUAUACCUGUUUGAGAAUCAUCAACCCAUCUCAUUCCUAAUUCGUUUUAGGAAUGGUAAAUGAGCUUCGUCAUCAGACUUCUUGAAGUCUGAUGUCGCUCUAAGUGCAUGACAUGCCUCUUAAGAGUUCAAGGCUAUUUGAAGCACCCAACACUCUGGCCUCGUAAGGUUGAGUUUCUCAGCCCAAAACCUAGCCUUAGUGAGUGUUUCAUCAAGAGCUUUCUUGAGAGUGAAGUCUCUUACAAAUUUUAACAAACCAUGAUCUCAAAUCAGGCAAGACUACCCGCUGAAUUUAAGCAUAUCAUUAAGCGGAGGAAAAGAAACUAACCAGGAUUCCCCUAGUAACGGCGAGUGAAGCGGGAAAAGCUCAAUCUUUAAAUCGAAGGGGUCUCCUCUUCGAGUUGUAGAGUAUAGAGGCGCCUUCGGGGGAGUGCUCAGGUAUAAGUCCCUUGGAAGAGGGCGUCAUAGAGGGUGACAACCCCGUUUAUGACUUGGGCAUUUUCUCCAUACGGGACGCUUUCGAAGAGUCGAGUUGUUUGGGAAUGCAGCUCUAAACGGGUGGUAAAUUUCAUCUAAAGCUAAAUAUUGGCGAGAGACCGAUAGCGAACAAGUACCGCGAGGGAAAGAUGAAAAGAACUUUGAAAAGAGAGUUAAAAGGGCCUGAAACUGUUAGCAGGGAAGCGAUUGAAACUGGGCAUACGCCCUGGGAUUCGGGUUAGUUGCCGGAGGUUCCGGCGCAUUCCGCACCGCAAGGGCGGUGUGCGCUGUAAUUCUUUAGCGCCUGCCUUACUUUCUCAGGGUGUGGGGCAGCAUCAGUUAGGGUUUCAGGUAGAGGUCUCCGGGAAGGUAGGCUUGAUCUUCGGACCGAGCUGUUACAGCCUGGGGGCAACGCUGUUACCUUGGCUGAGGAAAUUCAGCGCGCGCCAUGCUUGAGGCCCGUGCUCUGGGCCCCGGUUCCACCAAGGACAGCCUCGCUGUGUUUGGGCUACCGGGGUCUACUUGCGCGAGGCCUUUCAUACGCGUGCUCCAGAUGUUGCCACAACGGUUUCAACCGACCCGUCUUGAAACACGGACCAAGGAGUCUAACAUAUAUGCGAGUAUUUGGGUGUCAAACCCAAGUGCGCAAUGAAAGUAAAGGUGCUCUCCGAGCGCUUAGGUGUGAACACGUGGUACUUUCCGCGUGCGCAACAUCGACCGGUCUGGAGGUUUUCUGAAAGAUCUGAGUAAGAGCAUAUCUGUUGGGACCCGAAAGAUGGUGAACUAUGCCUGAGCAGGACGAAGCCAGAGGAAACUCUGGUGGAAGUCCGUAGCGGUUCUGACGUGCAAAUCGAUCGUCAAAUUUGGGUAUAGGGGCGAAAGACUAAUCGAACCAUCUAGUAGCUGGUUCCCUC
rnacentral:misc_RNA from 1 species